UUGAGCUGAGUUUUCAGUUAAUUUUAUUCAGCACUAGGAAGCAUUGUCAGGAAAGUAGCAAGAUACAUAACCUGGGUCUUCAGAGGGAAGAAAGGCAACUGAAUUAAAGGCGUCUCAUCUGGUAAAUGAUGACGAUGUGUUGACAGAAGUUUCAGGACCAGUACAGAAAAAAACAUCAUUCUGAAGCUCUGGGAAAAUGGCGGAAUAUGUGCAGACAGGAAAGCCUCUGGACUCCUCAAGGGGACCUGCUCCCUAUGAGAUUUCCCUGAGCUGGUGGUCUUCUCUGCUAUGCUGCCUGGCAAAGAAUGCUGAGGCAGCUAUAGGUGAAAUGCUCAUAGGAAGAGAAAGGGUCUCUAUUGCUCCACUGCAUUUCUUGACUGCAUUCAGGUUGUGCUUGCUUGAAGAGAAGGAUGUUUACUUUAGGCAUCUUUUACCCAGUAACAAUUUGUUAUAAAUUCGGCUUACAUCAACAAACUGCUAUUUUUCCUCACAUUUCUCUAACAUUUUUGUCUUAGUGCAGAACAGCAAUAGAAAAUUGCUGCUAUUUGUCCCCAGAUUGAAGUAUUUAAGUAAAGUUAAAGACAAUGUCUUACAAUAAUGAUAGUACUCUGGAAGCCAACUACAUUAUUUUCACUAGAAAUGCAAAGUAAUAACAAGAAUUUCAAUUGAAAUCAGUUGGAUUCAGUACAUG
rnacentral:lncRNA from 1 species